rnacentral:rRNA from 1 species
GCAAGUCGAACGCGAAAGCACCUUCGGGUGCGAGUAGAGUGGCGAACGGGUGCGUAACACGUAGGAAUCUACCUAACAGUGGGGGACAACCCGGGGAAACCCGGGCUAAUACCGCAUACGCCCUACGGGGGAAAGCGGGGGACCUUCGGGCCUCGUGCUGUUAGAUGAGCCUGCGCCGGAUUAGCUUGUUGGUGGGGUAACGGCCUACCAAGGCAACGAUCCGUAGCUGGUCUGAGAGGAUGAUC